CAUAGUACAAGCUGGUUAUUCUCUCAUACAUACAUCUCCGUAUGCAAAUAAGUUGAUUCGAUUCCGGAGAGGGAGCCUGAGAAACGGCUACCACAUCCAAGGAAGGCAGCAGGCGCGCAAAUUACCCAAUCCCAACACGGGGAGGUAGUGACAAUAUGUAACAAUAUACGGCCUUAUACGUCGUAUAAUUGGAAUGAGUACAAUUUAAAUCCCUUAACGAGGAACAAUUGGAGGGCAAGUCUGGUGCCAGCAGCCGCGGUAAUUCCAGCUCCAAUAGCGUAUAUUAAAGUUGUUGCAGUUAAAAAGCUCGUAGUUGGACCUUGGACCUGGACAGGCGGUCCGCCUCACGGCGAGUACUGUCUUGCUGGGUCUUUCCUCUUGGUGAUCUGUUGUUUCGGCAGCAGGGAACCAGGACUUUUACUUUGAAAAAAUUAGAGUGUUCAAAGCAGGCUCGACGCCCGAAUAUAUUAGCAUGGAAUAAUAAAAUAGGACGUGCGGUUCUAUUUUGUUGGUUUUUGGAAUCGCCGUAAUGAUUAAUAGGGACAGUCGGGGGCAUUAGUACUCACAUGCUAGAGGUGAAAUUCUUGGAUUUUGUGAAGGCUAACUUCUGCGAAAGCAUUUGCCAAAGAUGUCUUCAUUAAUCAGGGACAAAUGUGACGCGUAUCGGAACACGAUUAGAUACCGUUUGUAGUCUUAACAGUACACCUAUGGCGACUACGGGAUCGGGUCGAUCUGAUCUUCUUUGACUCCGAUGGGGCAACCACUACUGGGAGGGCCAAAGUGAUUUUGGGAAUACACAACGG
rnacentral:rRNA from 2 species